GUCCCGUUCGUCUAGUGGCCUAGGACACUGGCCUUUCACGCCGGCAACAGGGGUUCGAUUCCCCUACGGGACGCCA
rnacentral:tRNA from 1 species